rnacentral:rRNA from 1 species
AUGAAAUGUGUGCUGGACUUUCAUAUCCCUGUGCUCAAUGAAAUGCCUCGCCAUAGAGACAGAGAUCCUAACUCUGCCAUUCCCUUCUCUUCAGAAGCUCUUGGUCUAUUUCGGUGCAGCAGGAAAGGGGUGACUCUGCUGCUGAAACGGCAGAGCUUUUUUUCUCCCAGAGAAGAACGGAUUCCAUGUUCUCUGAAGUCUGAACACUUCUUGAUGCAUCAAUUGGGUCAAAAUGUUUCCUACUUGCAGGUGAUGAUCUUGCUGCAACUUGCUGCCUGGGUUUACAGUGAGCUAGCUGCUGCAGUCCCGCUCGUUUCUUUAGAGGACACAGAUGACAGAAAUGCCGCCAUGGGAUCAGUGAAUUACCAUUUGGAUCUCGCUGACCCCCUAACCUCUCGGUCGCCUGUGGUUUCGUUCUGUCUGCGGCGAUGGAUUGCUUACUCUGCUCCGUUUGUGUGUCGAGUUUGUUGGUUAGUACAGGAAAUGCAUGAGUUGUCAAUCAGAAAGAACUUCAAUUCUUCAAGCAAGAACUCCAGACUUGGCUUUCAAAUAACUACAUUGUGA